rnacentral:rRNA from 1 species
GAUUUCUGACAUGAUGUGCCUGGCCCGCUAGCGUUAGCUUUGUGAGUGCCGGCGCGCGUCGCGUCAUCCUUUCAGAGAACCAGUGUGCUCUUCAUUGAGUCGCGUUGGCAAUCUGGAUCUUUUACUUUGAAAAAAUUAGAGUGUUCAAAGCAGGUCAAAGCUGUGAAUAUAUUAGCAUGGAAUAAUGAUUUAGGACUUCGGUUCUAUUUUGUUGGUUUCUAGGACUGAAGUAAUGAUUGAUAGGGAUAGUUGGGGGUGCUAGUAUUUGCCGGCCAGAGGUGAAAUUCUUGGAU